rnacentral:ncRNA from 1 species
AUGAAUGUUAUAUCGCUCAUGGUGUCUAAUAGAUACCUCUACAUUUUUUGCAAUACAUGUGCUAGGAAUGUGGAACCUCUUCUACACGUCGACAAGAUUAAUUCUUGUAUUUGCCAGCCCCUCUUCAGGCUGGCUUUUUUUUGU